ACAGCACUGCUUUCAUUUUACCACAGCAAUGUGAGAGAUGUAAGCUGAGCUGUGGUUACCAUAGCAACAAAGGGAAUCUUAUUAUAAGUCAGCGCCAUACAUGUCCCCCAGAGAUAGAGGAGGACCCCAAUACCAACAAAACGCAUGGUGUAAGUGAAGAGGGGACUUUGAGUUGAGGGGAGAGGACAGAUUCCUCCCCUCCAAGAAACCACAAACAGAACUUGGCUCAAGUGACUGUGUACCGUCGCAUGAAGUAUCCGAACACAAGUCCAAGCCGUCUGUGAAAUCAGUGGUAUCUAACAUGUGAAGAAAAAAUGGAAAGCCCCAGCUAUUAGAAACACUAUAAAACAUAACCUAGACGGCAUAUCACUGAAUAACACUAUAAAACAUAUCCUAGAUGGCAGAUCACUGAAAAACACUAUAAAACAUACCCUAGACAGCAUAUCACUGAAAAACACUAUAAAACAUACCCUAGACAGCAUAUCACUGAAAGACACUAUAAAACAUACCCUAGACGGCAUAUCAUUGAAAAACACUAUAAAACAUAUCCUAGAUGGCAGAUCACUGAAAAACACUAUAAAACAUACCCUAGACAGCAUAUCACUGAAAAACACUAUAAAACAUACCCUAGACGGCAUAUCACUGAAUAACACUAUAAAACAUAUCCUAGAUGGCAGAUCACUGAAAAACACUAUAAAACAUACCCUAGACAGCAUAUCACUGAAAAACACUAUAAAACAUACCCUAGUAGGCAUAUUACUGAAAACACUAUAAAACAUACCCUAGAAGGCAUAUCACUGAAAAACACUAUAAAACAUACCCUAGUAGGCAUAUUACUGAAAACACUAUAAAACAUACCCUAGUAGGCAUAUUAUUGAAAACACUAUAAAACAUAACCUAGACGGCAUAUCACUGAAUAACACUAUAAAACAUAUCCUAGAUGGCAGAUCACUGAAAAACACUAUAAAACAUAUCCUAGAAAGGCAUAUCACUGAAAAACACUAUAAAACAUACCCUAGACAGCAUAUCACUGAAAGACACUAUAAAAUAUACCCCAGAAGGCAUAUCACUGAAAAACACUAUAAAACAUACCCUAGAUGGCAUAUCAUUGAAAAACACUAUAAAACUUACCCUAGAAGGCAGAUCACUGAAAAACACUAUAAAAUAUUCCCUAGAUAUUAAACACAGUAAAACAAAACCUCCACCCGCCGCCUUUAUACCUAAUACUAACAUAAAGCGUGAAACAAGUAUAAUAUCCAUAAACUUGUCCCUCCAGGGAAGAUAUGUCAGAAUCACCCGACAUUUCAUCCCCCUCCCCAAUGAAAUAUAGAAUAAUGAUUCCUAAGCUGUUGUACUAUUGUGAUAUCCUUCUAUGUAUCAGCU